rnacentral:lncRNA from 1 species
UUCUCACCCCCACCAUUUUCCAGGUGACGUGGACGGUGAGGGUUGGGACGAUGCGUGAGGACGAUGCUAGAUAGUUGUACCUAGAGUUAUCCGUUGUUGAUGUUCAUUAUCCUUCUGCUAGAUUUGUUUAGUUCUUCGCCCAUUGAUGUUUAAAUAUUAAUAGAUGUAUCUGAAUUAUUGUUAUAUUGUGAUUAAAUAGAUAUUUGUGUUAUGUGGUUGUAUGUAUACUUGAUCUUGUAUUAUGGUGCUACGUCGUGCAUAUACAGGGGAGACUUUGUCCGUUCGUACGGGGAAUCCCUUGUCCAUGUGGCGAGUCUAUGUGCGUUCGCGGGGUAUUCUCAAAGGUGUUUAUAAAAAAAACAAUGUACACGUUUUCGCGAGUUUUCUUAAAAAGGACUUUCCAAAAGAAUCCCAGGGCGUGACAUAAGGUUCUUUGUUGAGCAUAAUUCCAACUACUAAAGUAGGGGGCGUCGAGCUAGGAUCACAAUACUAGGAGGUUGAAAUAAAUCUAUAUCUAUACCUAUACAUUAAUCCCCCAAAAAAAUGCCACGUGGCUGUGUUUCCUUCACUGUUGACUUUCACUUUAUGAAACCAACCCUUCACCUUCCGCUACAAGAAAAGAUAGUAUUGGUGGCAAAAAUAAGAUGGCGACAAAAUUUAUCGCCACUAUAUAACUACAAGAAUAUUAUAUAUAUGGUGGCGACAUUACUCGCCACCAAUAUAUAAUAUUCUUGUAGUGUUCCCUAUGCACAUAACAUCUAAUUAACACGCCCACCCAACUUAACUCUAUCUAAACCGUAAACUUUAGAAACCCACACAAAAAGCCCAACCCUUCGUCUUCCCUUUACAUAUAACGUUUAAUUAAUGCGUCUACCCACCCUAACCUUAAUAUAAUCAUAAACUAUACAAACUCACACAAAAGCCCCCUUCUCUCCAAUGCAUGUAAUGAAAAUAA